rnacentral:lncRNA from 1 species
CCAGAUUUUUUCUCUUUCUUUUGCAGCUUUUCUGCCCCAACUUGUUUGGGUUCAACUCGAGGCUCGAUGUCGGUAAAUGGAUUAUUUAAAACCUCUGUUUUAACAAUUUUUUGCGGAUACAAUGGACGAUCGUUCUGGAAUGAAUAUCGUAUUUUAAAAAUUUAGGAAAAUCGUCAAAAUGAAUGUCACAUUUGGAGUUGCUGCCAGUGUGAAAAAAAACUGAGAACCGUUAUCAUCUUUUCCUGCAUUCGCCAUUGCAAGCAAGCCUCUCCGACAAAAACGUAAUCUGCUGUGAAACUCAUCCUGUAAUGAAUAAAGAAAAUUCUUCAACUUGUAUGCAAAUAAUGAUACAAUUGAAGACGACGUUUAAAAUAGUGCCAUACCUUGAACGGGCCAUCGUAUAUACUCUCGCCACCCUCCCCAGUCCCC